rnacentral:rRNA from 1 species
UACGAGGGGUGCAAGCGUUGCUCGGAAUUAUUGGGCGUAAAGGGUAGGUAGGUGGUCUCAUUUGUCCGGGGUGAAAGCCUUGGGCUUAACUCAAGAAGUGCCCCGGAAACGGUGAGACUAGAGUCCUGGAGAGGGUCGUGGAAUUCCCGGUGUAGCGGUGAAAUGCGUAGAGAUCGGGAGGAACACCAGAGGCGAAGGCGGCGACCUGGACAGGCACUGACACUCAACUACGAAAGCGUGGGGAG